ensembl:lncRNA
AAUCUCUUAGAGACACCCUGCUCAUCAUCAUUAAUGUGCUCUGAUUUACAUUCAGGCUCUUCCUAUCCUGAAUAUGUUCCCAACAUCAAUCUGUCUGUACAGUCUUGAAAAAAGAAUUUAAGUUACCAAGUUAGUGCAUACAUUAGCUUUCUCUUACUGGAAACAGACACUUAAAAAGAGGAACUUUUGCUGCUUUGCUUCUGGUUCUGUGCCAAGGCAACAGGGCAUGAUGGGAACAGGUUAAAGAGCAAAUCUUCUCAACUCCUGGCUGCCAGGAAGCCAGUGAGAGGAAGAGGCCAGGGAAAAGGUCCUGCUGAGCCUUGAAGGGCACAGCCCCAAUGACCUCAUUCCCUCCUGGUAGGUCCCACCUCCCACAGGAUCCACCACUACAUACUAUGGCUAUGCCACAGAGAAACUCCUGUAUCAUGUGGGCUUUUGGUAUAUCAUCUAAGUUCUCCGAUUCCUAGCUGGGGUGAAUGGCACAUCUAUGUAAUAUCAUCCCUCAGGAGGGUGAGGAUGGACAGAUGUGAGAAGUUUGAGGACAGCCUGAGAUACAUAGUGAUUGUGGCCUCAAACUCUCAGCCAUCCUCCUGCCUCAGCUUCUUGAGUGCUACUAUUACAUCAUGGGCCAGGACACUAGGCCUCUUUUAACUUGUUUGAGGAAAGUCCUAGGGCCCUGGGAAGAGAGGCCAAAGAUCCCUGAAGGCAGAAUUCUGCAUGAUGAAGUCUAUGCCUUGUGCGGGUUGCUGGAAGACAUGUCCAGGGAUGAAAGUACCAAGUAACCUUCACACAGAGCCUAAAGAACAGACAGCCUUAACAUCAACAGAUACCAGAAAUGGAUUAAAGCAAAAUUUAGAAUCCCAGUGUGGAAUUCACCCGAAUGUCCCAUUAUGAAUAAAUGGCUAUGACAAUAUCUGUCAUCUAUCUACACAGUAGACAGUUAUACCUUCCUCAGAAAGGACGGCACUCUGACAUCCUGCACUCUCAAGGGACCCUGAGGACAUUGUGCUAAGAGGAAGAAGGCAGACACCAAAGACACACGUGGUCUGAGUCCACAGGACUGCUAGGCAUACAAGGAUCCCAGCGCUGUCCAUUCAUAGGGACAAUGGGAGAACACUGCUUCCCAGAGGCUGUGAGAAGAGACUGGGCAUCCAUGGUUUCAUGGGGUAGAGUUUCUCUUCAGGUGGAGGAAACAAUUCCAUAGAUGCAUAGAGGGCUGGCUGUACAACAGAAGCAAUAGACAUUCACGUGCUACAUAUUAUAUUUUGGCCAGUGAUGGACCACAGAGACAUAGUGCUUAUAUGAGAUGGUUUCACCUCCUGCCCUGCUAGUUCUUAGAGCUGGGUGAGUUCAUUCUACCAGGUUGGCACAAUGACAGUUUCAAUGGAUUGCCCCUUUCCCAGAACACAUUCCCAUCAUUAUUUCCAUACCGGGGAAGGGAAUAGGAAAAGACAGGAUGUGGGACAAGGAGAGCCCCAUCAGUCAAAAAUCUGUGGGGCUGGUAGGAAGGAGGGGUUAGAACAUGUGUUCCCAGGAUGCACAGGGGAAGCAGAGACUCAAGUAGAGCUUCCUUUCACACACCUGUGACAAUGUGUCUACAACAGGUGGAGUUUGGAAGGAAGGGAACAAUGGACCCUGCAAGGAGAACUGAAAGCAGAUGGAGAACAGCAAAGGUCUGUUGAUGGCAUCCAACUUCUGUCCUUAGGCCUCUGGCCGGAAAAGGAAGAGAGGCUGUGGGAGUCAGAAGAUGAGUGGCAGAUGGACCUGCUGGGUCUUUUUGAUCCAGUCCCUCGAUUAGCACUCUACUUCCUGCCUCUGGCCAGAAGAAGCAGAAAGACUGGUCCAUAGAAGUGGAGAACUAUGAGGAGGAGGACAUGUCUGGGUUUUUUUACUUAGCCUAUACGGUAAACCCCCAGCUCUCACCUCAGUCCCCUGGCCAAAAAAAGAAAGUGGGAAUGAUUAUUUGGGUCUAGGAAGAAAUCACAGGAGGCACUGGGCAACCUGGUCUGGGCCCUCAGUGCAUAGGGCUCAUGGAGUUCCCAUAUGGACUCCAAAUGACCCUGAGAGGAAGCAUCUAUGGUCAGUGCUGCUUGAGCACCACCAGGAACCAGGCUGUUAGCAGACUGUGUUCAAGAGAUGCCUGGCCUGGUGCAAGAACCUCAGGUAACUAACAGAUUGAGCUCCUUUUCCCUUGAGCCAGGCUCUCACUAUGGCACGGCUUAGGGAGGAGAGAGGUCCUACCCCACAGUCCUUCUUCCAUGGCUGUCUUUGUGGGAAGCUCCCACAUGACAUUCCCCCAACUAUUCCCCCUUAGUUCUGGGGACCAUCUGCCUUCAGCUCCUGGGUUUUUUCUGGCAGGCUGGAUGUGUGCACCUUCCUCAGCCCGGGGCCUCUGGUAUCUGAAUGCAGGCCACCGUCUUCCCCAGACAUAGCUUCUCUGGGUGUUGGCAUCUUUAGUCCCUGACCCCUCUCCUAAUUCUCAAGAGCCCCUUUGCUAUAGCUUAGAAGACCCCCUUCUGAUCCUUGGAAGGGCCAUCCUAGGCAUCACAGCCUCCCUUUUCCUGACUGCUCUCAUCUGCAGACAACCUCCAGCCCCUUGACUUUCCAUGAAUAGCCAGGUGAUCCAACCCUGGGGUUCCACUCUGAGUGGAGCCCUGCCCCACCCCAGUCCCUGUCUGCACAUCCCUCUUCCAGGUGUGGCCACUCUCUGUGGUCCUCUCUCCCCAUCACUGCCUCAUCAGUGCUAAUUCAAAUAGUCAUCACUGACUAUUUCAACUGGGCAGGCCUCUUCCUCUGGCAGUACCAGAGGUUCCAAUGCUUCCUGGCUCCUUGAGUACUCUGCCUCCUCCCCACAGUCCACAGGAGAGUGGGGAGAAUGAGACUCAGUGUAUCUUCUUGGGGAGAGGGAGUCAGCAAAACCCCUUGCUUCCCUGAUUUUUUUUGUACUGGGG